AGGCGAAGCGGCGACGCGGAGCGACCCAAAAACACCGCCCCAGUUCGGAUUGCAGUCUGCAACCCGACUACAUGAAGCUGGAAUCGCUAGUAAUCGCGGAUCAGAAUGCCGCGGUGAAUACGUUCCCGGGUCUUGUACACACCGUCCGUCACACCAUGGGAGUCGGAAAUGCCCGAAGUCGGUGACCUAACUGAAAGGAAGGAGCCGCCGAAGGCAGGUCUGGUGACUGGGGUGAAGUCGUAACAAGGUAUC
rnacentral:rRNA from 1 species